rnacentral:rRNA from 1 species
UCCGGUUGAUCCUGCCAGAGGUUACUGCUAUCGAGGUUCGACUAAGCCAUGCGAGUCGAAUGUAGCAAUACAUGGCGUACUGCUCAGUAACACGUGGACAACCUGCCCUUAGGUCGGGUAUAAACCCGGGAAACUGGGUAUAAUCCCCGAUAGGUCUCGGCUGCUGGAAUGCAUCGAGAUUGAAAGCUCCGGCGCCUAAGGAUGGGUCUGCGGCCUAUCAGGUAGUAGUGGGUGUAGCGUACCUACUAGCCUACGACGGGUACGGGUUGUGAGAGCAAGAGCCCGGAGAUGGAUUCUGAGACACGAAUCCAGGCCCUACGGGGUGCAGCAGGCGCGAAAACUUUACAAUGCUGGCAACAGCGAUAAGGGAACCUCGAGUGCCAGGUUACAAAUCUGGCUGUCGAGAUGCCUAAAAAGCAUUUCAUAGCAAGGGCCGGGCAAGACCGGUGCCAGCCGCCGCGGUAACACCGGCGGCUCGAGUGGUAACCGUUAUUAUUGGGUCUAAAGGGUCUGUAGCCGGCCGGAUAAGUCUCUUGAGAAAUCUGGCAGCUUAACUGUCAGGCUUUCAGGAGAUACUGUCUGGCUCGAGGCCGGGAGAGGUGAGAGGUACUUCAGGG